rnacentral:ncRNA from 1 species
AUCUUCGGGGGUGAGUGCAAUUCUCCACCGACGGUGUUAGGGAAACCUUAAGUCCGUGAGCCAUGAGGCAUGAUCCGGUGUGAAUCCGGAACCGACAGUAUAGUCUGGAUGAGAGAAGU